CAGUCGAGCGAUGGAUUAAGAGCUUGCUCUUAUGAAGUUAGCGGCGGACGGGUGAGUAACACGUGGGUAACCUGCCCAUAAGACUGGGAUAACUCCGGGAAACCGGGGCUAAUACCGGAUAACAUUUUGCACCGCAUGGUGCGAAAUUGAAAGGCGGCUUCGGCUGUCACUUAUGGAUGGACCCGCGUCGCAUUAGCUAGUUGGUGAGGUAACGGCUCACCAAGGCAACGAUGCGUAGCCGACCUGAGAGGGUGAUCGGCCACACUGGGACUGAGACACGGCCCAGACUCCUACGGGAGGCAGCAGUAGGGAAUCUUCCGCAAUGGACGAAAGUCUGACGGAGCAACGCCGCGUGAGUGAUGAAGGCUUUCGGGUCGUAAAACUCUGUUGUUAGGGAAGAACAAGUGCUAGUUGAAUAAGCUGGCACCUUGACGGUACCUAACCAGAAAGCCACGGCUAACUACGUGCCAGCAGCCGCGGUAAUACGUAGGUGGCAAGCGUUAUCCGGAAUUAUUGGGCGUAAAGCGCGCGCAGGUGGUUUCUUAAGUCUGAUGUGAAAGCCCACGGCUCAACCGUGGAGGGUCAUUGGAAACUGGGAGACUUGAGUGCAGAAGAGGAAAGUGGAAUUCCAUGUGUAGCGGUGAAAUGCGUAGAGAUAUGGAGGACACCAGUGGCGAAGGCGACUUUCUGGUCUGUAACUGACACUGAGGCGCGAAAGCGUGGGGAGCAAACAGGAUUAGAUA
rnacentral:rRNA from 1 species